rnacentral:rRNA from 1 species
CAAAUUUAAAAUCUACCUGGUUUYCAGGUCGAGUUGUAAUUUGAAGAUACGUUUUUGACGUUCCGGGUUGRACUAAAUCCUUUGGGAUAAGGUAUCAUGGAGGGUGAGAAUCCCGUAUAUACCAACCRYAGGGAUGUUAUUUAAUACSUUUCUAAGAGUCGAGUUGUUUGGGAAUGCAGCUCUAAAUGGGUGGUAAAUUUCACCUAAUGCUAAAUAUAAGCGAGAGACCGAUAGYGAACAAGUACAGUGAUGGAAAGAUGAAAAGAACUUUGAAAAGAGAGUUAAAUAGUAYGUGAAAUUGUUGAAAGGGAAACGAUUGAAGUCAGUCAUGCCRGUGGGAAUCAACUUAGAGGAAACUCUGAGUGCACUUYUUCGCUUGGCAGGUCAACGUYGAUUUUGGAUGUCAUAAAAWGAUUGGGGGAAGGUAGCUCYUUCGGGAGUGUUAUAGCCCUUGGUAGAUGUGAUGUCUGGGAUCGAGGAUUGCAAUGGAUACCCUUUGGGGCUAGCCGCCUGAUCUCUAAUYGGUAUUGGGUUACGGAUAGCAUGCUGACCGUGAUCUAAUUAUUGGUUAAAAGGUUAG